rnacentral:rRNA from 1 species
UACGGAGGAUGCAAGCGUUAUCCGGAAUGAUUGGGCGUAAAGCGUCCGCAGGUGGCUGUGUAAGUCUGCUGUUAAAGAGUCAUGCUCAACAUGAUAAGAGCAGUGGAAACUACACGGCUAGAGUGCGUUCGGGGCAGAGGGAAUUCCUGGUGUAGCGGUGAAAUGCGUAGAGAUCAGGAAGAACACCGGUGGCGAAAGCGCUCUGCUAGGCCGCAACUGACACUGAGGGACGAAAGCUAGGGGAGCAAACGGG